AUGAAAAAGGAAAAUGCACUACAAUUAUCUGAGAUCAUGGGAAAAGCUGAAAUGUGGCUCAUUCAAAACUACUGGUGUUUGGAAUUUCCUCACCCACCCUUACCUAAUUUUGAAUUUGCUGUAGGACCCUACUGCAAACCUGUCAAACCCCUGUCUAAGGUAAACCUAUUCCUAGUUGUUUUAUUCUGUUUGCUUUGCAUUUUCAGGGGGAAUGACUGUAUUCUUCGUUCAGAGUGUUUGUCUCAUAGUGAGACCCAUAUGGAAAGUGGGGAAAGUGAACUGCCAAUUAGAAACUGGUAUAUUUGUUUUCAGUACCAUCAUAAGUAUGCGAAUUGCAUUACCAUUACAGAAUAACCUGAGAUACCUGGGAGACUUUGAGAAUACAGUCAGUUAACUUAAGGUCUUAUUAUUCAACACGUAAGAAUCAAUUUUUCAUUUAAAGAAUAUAGUGACUAAAAUAUACCAGAAGUGCCAGAUUUGCAAAGAAACAAAGUAGACAUGGCUUCUGCACCCUAUACAUCUUAUCUUCUACUGUGAAAGAUAAAAUAUAAGCAAGUAAUAAAAACUGCAUGAAAAGUGUCAUCUUAAGGAAAGACUACAAUGCUAACGAAGCAUUUAGAGGAGAGUACAGCAAGUAUCUCUGAGUCAUUAAUAAUUAACGUGAGCCCUAAACAAGGUGAAGGGAUGAGAGGGAGAGGAAGAAACAUAAAGAAAAGCAGGUAGAAAAGUAAGGACAGUUCCCAGAGACCCAAAGUUUAGUUCUGUAGGAAGAGGUUGAGUAAUGAAGCAGAUGAUGCUGGUGAGGUAGUAUAGAGCCAGAUAAUUAUAGGAGUUUGAACAUAUGUUAAGGGCAUGCUGAAGACAGUGAAAAAGAGUUAAACAAAAAAGGGAUAUUAUCAGAUUUCCUUUUUAAAAAAAAUCUCAAGGUUUAGUAACUGGGUUGAUUGUAGCGGGGCAGGACUAUAGAAAGGGGAAUCACGCUAAAGAGAACUUUUGUAAGAAUGUUCUUGCAAGAAUUCAGGCAACAAGUGACAGAAAACUAGACUAGAAUGUUCAAAGAGGCAAGACGCAAUGGCUUACAUGUAUAAUUCCAGCACUUUGGGAGGGGGAGGCGGGAGGCAGGUUUGAGCCCAGGAGUUUGAGACCAUCAUGGGCAAAAACAUGAGCCCUUGUUUCUAGAAAAAAAAUGUUUAAAAGUCAGCUGGGUAUGGUGGUACAUGCCUGUGGUCCCAGCUACAUGGGAGGCUGUGGCAGGAGAAUCACUUCAGCCCACGAGAUCAAGGCUGCAGUGAGUCAUAAUCAUGCCACUGUAUCCCAGCCUGGGCAACAGAUGGAGACCCUGUCUUAAAAAAAAAAAAAAAAGAAUGUUGAUAGAUAUGACUAUGCCUACUCAUACAAUAAUAGGCCAACCUCAUAUUGUGUUGUGUGUGUGGAAAAAAAUAGUUAAUAUAGAUAAAACACUUGAAAUAUCUCUAGUACAUAGUGAUCCAGAGUAAUAUUGACUCUUGUCAUUAUUACUGUUUUGUUUAUAUUACUAAUACUAUUAACUAAUUUGUGCCAGACACUUUAGAUAUUAUUCCUCAUUUUAUAGAAACUGGUCUUCUUUUUUUUUUUUUUUUUUUUGAGACGGAGUCUCGCUCUGUCGCCCAGGCUGGAGUGCAGUGGCCGGAUCUCAGCUCACGGCAAGCUCCGCCUCUCGGGUUUACGCCAUUCUCCUGCCUCAGCCUCCCGAGUAGCUGGGACUACAGGCGCCCGCCACGUCGCCCGGCUAGUUUUUUGUAUUUUUUUAGUAGAGACGGGGUUUCAACGUGUUAGCCAGGAUGGUCUCGAUCUCCUGACCUCGAGAUCCGCCCGUCUCGGCCUCCCAAAGUGCUGGGAUUACAGGCUUGAGCCACCGCGCCCGGCCAAAUCUACUUUAUAAAAGUCCGUAAUACAAUUUUAUUAACUAUAGUCCUCAUCUUAUACAUUAGAUCUCUAAACUUGUUCAUUCUACAUGUUUGCUAAUUUGUAUACUUUGACCUACAUCUUCCCAUUUCCUCUCACCGCCCACCACCCCUGUUGGUGGCGACCACUGUUUUGUUCUCUGUGUAUCUGAGAUCUUUUUAAAAAUAUAUGUUCCACAUGUAAGGGAAAUCAUGCAGUAUUUUUGUUUCUAUCUCCGGCUUAUUUAUCCUAGCAUGAAGUCCUCUCUGUCCAUCUGUGUGGUGGCAAAUGUUAACAUCUCCAUCUUUUUAAGGCUGAAUAAUAUUACACACACACACACACACAAAUACAUACAUAUAUAUAUAAAUAUAUAUAUACACACACACAUUUUUAAAUCCACUCAUCAGUCAAAGGACACAAGUUGUUUCCCUAUCUUGGCUAUUGUGAAUACUGUUGCAAUGAACAUGGGAGUGCAGCUGUCUUUACAAAGUGGUGAUUUUCAUUUUUUGUUUUAUACCCAU
rnacentral:lncRNA from 1 species